UACGUAGGAGCCAAGCGUUGUCCGGAAUUAUUGGUCCUAGAGCGCGCGUAGGCGGUUUCCUAAGUCUGAUGUGAAAUCUUGCGGCUCAACCGCAAGCGGUCAUUGGUAACUGGGGAACUUGAGUGCAGAAGAGGAGAGCGGAAUUCCACGUGUAGCGGUGAAAUGCGUAGAUAUGUGGAGGAACACCAGUGGCGAAGGCGGCUCUCUGGUCUGUAACUGACGCUGAGGUGCGAAAGCGUGGGGAGCGAACAGG
rnacentral:misc_RNA from 1 species